rnacentral:rRNA from 1 species
CCUACGGGAGGCAGCAGUCAGGAAUAUUUGUCAAUGGUCGGGAGACUGAACCUGCCAAGCCGCGUGGGGGAGGAAGGUACAGAGUAUCGUAAACCUCUUUUGUCAGGGAACAAAGGCGGGGACGUGUCCCCGGAUGAGUGUACCUGAAGAAACAGCAUCGGCUAACUCCGUGCCAGCAGCCGCGGUAAUACGGAGUAUGCGAGGGUUAUCCGGAUUUAUUGGGUUUAAAGGGUGCGCAGGCGGUCUGUUAAGUCAGCGGUCAAAGCUCGGGGCUCAACCCCGGCCCGCCGUUGAAACUGGCAGUCUAGAGUUGGAGAGAAGUAUGCGGAAUGCGCGGUGUAGCGGUGAAAGGCAGAGAUAUCGCGAAGAACGCCGAUUGCGAAGGCAGCAUGCCGGCUCCACACUGACGCUGAGGCACGAAAGCGUGGGUAUCGAACAGGAUUAGAUACCCUUGUAGUC